AUCUGACCUCAAAUCAGGUAGGACUACCCGCUGAAACUUAAGUAUAUCAUAAGCGGAGGAA
rnacentral:rRNA from 1 species